UUGGAAUGAGCUCAUUUUGCUGAGGGCGGAAAUCUAAAUGCGGCGAUGGUUUCCACUAUCAGCAAAGAAAGAAAAAUGGAUGAAUGAAUAAAUGGAUGAAAGACUGGAAAUAAAACAAACGGACUGACUGGUAAAAGCUGACAAGACUUGACUACGACUUAAGGUUAACCUCCACCGAGAUAGAACAAGAGGGUGGAUGAAUUUAUGUGUGAUUCUUUUUACAGGAAAUCUUUUUAUAGCACCUCUGGAAUGUGGAUGUGCUGCUAAUGUUUGCUUUGCUUUGUUAAGAAUGUGUGAGAAGGGUGCAGUAGAAAACAGACAAGUGACAUGGAAACAAGUAAUAAUAACAAAUAACUAAUUUGGGGACAGUUUAACCUAGAGCCCACUAACUGGCCAUUAGGGGCUCUCUCUCUUGGAGUAAUAUUGCCCAAGUGUGAAUAAAACAAAUUGUGGCAAUAAAAGUGAUAUAAUGAUUGGAGAAAUCCUGAACAUGAUGCUUGUCUGUUGUGCUGAAUCUUUUAUUACUCUUAUGAUUUGCAGGUGGUUGUAAAUAAGCUGUUUACUUUAACAGGUUUGCUUUUUAGCUGAAUUGCAAAAUACAACUAGAACGAUUAAUUGAGAUUAAUCGCAACUAACCUGAAACUGAGGAGGUUCUAUAUAAGGAAGAACUAAAACAGGUAUAAAGUGCAUUUGAUCUUUAAUUGCAGGUUGUUGCUCAUUAUUGAAGUGUGCUCAUAAAGGCAAAAGCUAGAUAGGGGGUCUAUGAUUUGGUUUGUGUUUUAAUAAUUUAGGUAUGGCAAAAUUAAAGGUUUCUAGACAAUUUAGGGGACCAGUGAGAAGUAUAAUUAGAUGAUCAGAAACUGAGUACUACACUUAAGUUAGAAUUAAGAAUGCCCAAUUUGUUUGAGGUCUGUUGUUCAUUUUUAUACACCCAUUGCAAAUGUGCUUAUAAGGAGCUGGCACUUAGUCUGUGAAGGUCAAAAGCUUCAUCCGACAACGGAUCGGAUUGAUAUAUUGGAGCUAUUGACUUCACGUGCAGAGGGUUAAGUGCAUGCACGCUUACACACAUAGGCAUAGUAUAGGAGUGGAAUAAACAAAGUCAACAACAUUAGGUUAGGAGAGCCAGCGAGGGGGAUGUGUUGGCGUUCUGUCUCUUGCAGAGAAAGGAAUAGACACCAGAACAAUGAGGUCUCGGGGGAUGCUUGGAUGAGACGUGAGCGGAGAGGCGUCAGGGAUCAUCUUGAGCAGAACAGCGGAAAUGGCACAGAGAGCUGUACUACUGAGAUUCCAGGAGAAGGAGGGAGCGUGCCAAGCUCCGGAAGUAAUAGUUCUGUUUCCGGUGGUCUCAAGGUGAAUGAGCAGAGGGGAGCUCAGGGAAAGGCUCAUUCCAAGUCACAACACGGGUGGUAAAACAGAGGCGGAAUAAUCCUCUGCAACGUGGCUAGCUCACUCAGUAGUCUACCUGGGGAGCUGAAGAAAGAAGAAUCCGAGGGUGUUUCUUCACUCCAAGAGGAGGUGGUGAAGGGGCCUGAAGCGUGACAGGCUGAAACUCGAGUCUGAAGCUAAAAGAACAGCUGGGUUGUGGGAAAAUUGGAAAACAACGGAGGUGUUGGGGUUGAUAAGUGUCAUAACGUGUUUGUUUGGUUUGGAGACAAAUCCUGGUGUGAGUUGGGCUGGCAAGCCAGCCCAAAGAGGAGGAAUGUGACCAGGAGAUAUUUUAUUCUCAUAAUCAGUUAUCAUUGAUUAAUCAUUUACCAUUGUGGAAUCUGAUGACAGUAUAAUCUUUGUUUUAUAUCUAUGGUAAUCUGAGUAAAGAUUAAGGUAUGCAGGUUAUCAUCAUUGUAAUCAAGUCUCAAAUGGUAUCCACAGCAUUGUAUUCACCGUCCAUAACUGGAGGGUCUAGCAGGACCUUGUUCUAAUUCAUUUGCAGGCCUACAUCAGAACAUGCACAUAGAGAGUUAUGUAAACACGCACGUUCACCCUUAUUUACACAGGGAGGUCAUGUCAGGACAUUCUCUAGUUGGACACACAGGCUCACAGAACUGCACAACAUGCCAUGUCACACACUUGGUUUUCUCUAAAGUAUCAUCUGAUGUUUGUAUAAGGAGAACUUUGGACCAUGUCAUCAUGGGUUAUAUAAGGAUGGGGAACGGUCCACUCUUUGGAGAUCUGUGGCUGUACGCUUGUCUUCCCAUGCUUCUGUCUUAGAAGUGUGCAAUAAAAUCACUAUGUUUGUCACCUACA